AUUGAACGCUGGCGGCAGGCCUAACACAUGCAAGUCGAACGAGAGGCGGACGGGUGAGUAAUGUCUGGGAAUCUGCCCGAUGGAGGGGGAUAACUACUGGAAACGGUAGCUAAUACCGCAUACUAUCGGAUGUGCCCAGAUGGGAUUAGCUAGUAGGUGGGGUAACGGCUCACCUAGGCGACGAUCCCUAGCUGGUCUGAGAGGAUGACCAGCCACACUGGAACAGAGACACGGACCAGACUCCUACGGGAGGCAGCAGUGGGGAAUAUUGCACAAUGGGCGCAAGCCUGAUGCAGCCAUGCCGCGUGUAUGAAGAAGGCCUUCGGGUUGUAAAGUACUUUCAGCGGGGAGGCGUUACUCGCAGAAGAAGCACCGGCUAACUCCGUGCCAGCCGCCGCGGUAAUAC
rnacentral:rRNA from 1 species